GUGGGGUAACGGCCUACCAAGGCGAUGACGGGUAGCGGGUCUGAGAGGAUGAUCCGUCACACUGGGACUGAGACACUGCCCAGACUCCUACGGGAGGCUGCAGUCGAGAAUCUUCCACAAUGGGCGAAAGCCUGAUGGAGCGACACCGCGUGCAGGAUGAAGGCCCUAGGGUUGUAAACUGCUGUCACGCUAUAGGAACCCACGGUCGUUAAUAGCUUCCGUGCUGACCAAAGCGAGAGGAAGCGCCGGCUAACUCCGUGCCAGCAGCCGCGGUAAUACGGAGGGCGCAAGCGUAGUUCGGAUUUACUGGGCAUAAAGAGCACGUAGGCGGCUCGCUCAGUCGGGUGUGAAAGCCCACGGCCCAACCGUGGAACUGCACCCGAUACUGGCGAGCUCGAGGACGGAAGGGGUGAGUGGAACUCCAGGUGGAACGGUGAAAUGUAUAGAUGUCUGGAGGAACACCGGUGGCGAAAGCGGCUCACUGGUCCGACUCUGACGCUGAGGUGCGAAAGCUAGGGUAGCGAACGGGAUUAGAUACCCCGGUAGUCCUAGCCGUAAACGAUGGGCACUAGGCAAUGGGCCCUCCUAUGAGGUUCAUUGCCGGAGCUAAUGUGUUAAGUG
rnacentral:rRNA from 1 species